AGUGACAAGAAAUAACAAUACAGGACUUUUUGGUUUUGUAAUUGGAAUGAGUUAAGUAUAAACCCCUUUACAAGUAUCAAUUGGAGGGCAAGUCUGGUGCCAGCAGCCGCGGUAAUUCCAGCUCCAAUAGCGUAUAUUAAAGUUGUUGCAGUUAAAAAGCUCGUAGUUGGAUUUCUGUUAAUAAUUUAUAUAAAAUACUUAGGUGUUUAUAUAAUAUUAACAUAAUUCAUACUACUAUUUUUAGUAUAUGAAAUUUUACUUUGAGAAAAUUAGAGUGCUUAAAGCAGG
rnacentral:rRNA from 1 species